rnacentral:rRNA from 1 species
GACGAACGCUGGCGGCGUGCUUAACACAUGCAAGUCGAACGAAGAGCGAUGGAAGCUUGCUUCUAUCAAUCUUAGUGGCGAACGGGUGAGUAACGCGUAAUCAACCUGCCCUUCAGAGGGGGACAACAGUUGGAAACGACUGCUAAUACCGCAUACGAUCUAAUCUCGGCAUCGAGGAUAGAUUAACGGUGGCCUCUACAUGUAAGCUAUCACUUAAGGAGGGGAUUGCGUCUGAUUAGCUAGUUGGAGGGGUAACGGCCCACCAAGGCGAUGAUCAGUAGCCGGUCUGAGAGGAUGAACGGCCACAUUGGGACUGAGACACGGCCCAGACUCCUACGGGAGGCAGCAGUGGGGAAUCUUCCGCAAUGGACGAAAGUCUGACGGAGCAACGCCGCGUGAGUGAUGACGGCCUUCGGGUUGUAAAGCUCUGUUAAUCGGGACGAAAGGCCUUCUUGCGAAUAGUGAGAAGGAUUGACGGUACCGGAAUAGAAAGCCACGGCUAACUACGUG